CUAUAAUGGCCGUAGGGAGUGUAAAUGAUAUAAUACCUGGUUGUUUGUACUUGUUUUACUGAUAGUUGGACGUCCUGUCGUUUUGAGAACCAUGAAGUUGGCGAUUGCGUGUAUGCUUCUAAUGUCCUUGGCAGCUGCGAACAGCUUCAUUCUAGACAGUGCUUGUCACAAGAACGGUGGAGCCUGCCGCAGCAUUGCCUCCGACGAGCUCUGUUUUGGAAAGCGCACUAGGGACGACUGUGCAGGCAGUUUCUUCUACUGCUGCAUGCCCAACUUUAACAUCGGCAAGUAACCUGCAGCAACAGGAUCAGCUACUGAACGACGUAACGGAACAUUCGCCCAUAUGUAGUUGAAAAAUAAAUAUUCGAUAAUCAAAAUAAA